rnacentral:sRNA from 1 species
CUCAGCUCAAAAACAUGAGCUAUUGAUGAAAAAUUUAGUCCAAGUCUUCUUAUAGUUUCCUUUCGAUAUAUUUCGUUAUUCAACUCCGGCAGUCACUUUUUCUUUAUAUUCCAUUUUAUAGCCUCGGUUUUCGACUCUUUAAUAAUUAACGAGGUAUAUAUGUCUACAAAAAUGACUGGUUCAGUAAAAUGGUUUGACGAAUCAAAAGGCUUUGGCUUUAUUUCACCUGACAAUGGUGGCGCAGAUCUGUUUGUGCACUUUAAGUCUAUCAUUUCAGAGGGUUUUAAAACCCUGACUGAUGGCCAACAAGUAUCGUUUACGGUAGAAGCUGGUGCCAAAGGCCCGCAGGCGACAAACGUCAUCGCUGCAUAAAUGACCAUUUUUAAUAUCUUCUUGCAUCACAUUGGCUUAGAUGUGAUGUAGGA